UUAAUUAGGGAAGAACCUUACCAAGGCUUGACAUACCACAAAUCCUCUCAAAAGAGAGGGGUGUCUUAGGGAAGGCCGGCACAUAUAGUGCAUGGUUCUCGUCAGCUCGUGUGGUAAGGUAUUGUGUUAACUCUUGCAACAAGUGCAAUCCUCAUUUUUUGUUGCCAUUGUUGAGUUCAAAAUCUUGAAUGAACUGUCAAUAAUAAGUUGGAGAAGAUGAGGAUGACGUCAAGUCAUCAUGCCCCUUAUAUAUGCCACGGGCA
rnacentral:ncRNA from 1 species